UCACUCAGUCACCACGUGCAACGCCUUCGGCCGCCACACGCUAACUUCAUGUUACGAGAGAGACAAAAUUUACAACGAUUACACGCGGUAACCAUGCUUGGAGAAGGUCAAGCGGUGAGGAGCAUUAUCAGGCAUGGAGGACAGGCAGCCACUACACAUUAAGCACGGGCUCAGCAGAAUCCUCUUGUCUCGUGAAAUGGCUGGGUAGGCGAUGAAGACGCUCAGUGUGCAUAAAAUAAAAUAAUGUACUGAACACA